rnacentral:lncRNA from 1 species
UCCCAAGUAACUGGGACCACAGGCAGAUGCCACCAUGCCCAGUGACUCCGUUCACAUGCUCCCGUCUUGUCAUCAAGCCCUGUUCAUCUCUCACCAUCUCUCACCUGGACCAUUGCCAGUUUCUGAGCUGCCUGCUCUUGAAUACCAGCUUCCUGAAAAUAUCACCAAAACGAUCUGGUCCUCAGACAAAGCAGAGUCUAUUGCUCACUGCAGUAACAGAGAGCUCCGUCUUCAGAGUCUUGGUAACAUUUCGCUGAGAGGACAACCCAAUCACACUGUUUAGGAGAUUUUGGAUUCUGACUAAGGUGCCUGGAGCAAAAAUGUGUCCAGAAUUGGUGGGUUGUUGGUCUCGCUGACCUCAAGAACGGAGCCGUGGACCCUCGCGGGAAAAUACUAAAUUGCGCAUUGUAGCAGAGGGAAACAAGCUGGUGGUGGGAGCGGAUAGAAGAAAAUGAAGACGGCUCCAAACCUGGGGAGCGCGCAAGAAGAUGACACAAACUUUUGAAAUAACAUGAACACGGACAAGGGGAGUCAGAGGCAGAAGAGAAGGUGUUGUGAUGACAGAAGCAGAGAUCUGAGUGACUCACUUUGAAGAUGGAGGAAGAGGUCACAGGCCAAGUGAUACAGAUGCCAGGAGAAGCUGAAAACAGGAGGAAAUGGAUUCUUCCCUCAGAGCUUCUGGAAAAGAUCAGUCUUGCUGAUAACUUGACUUUAGCCCACUGAAACUGAUUUUGAACUUUUGACUUCCAGAACUACAGGGUCUCAUUAUUGUUGCCCAGACUCAUCUCAAACUC